GCCAGGCGUGGUGGUGGGCGCCUGUAAUCCCAGCUACUCAGGAGGCUGAGGCAGGAGAAUUGCUUGUACCCAGGAGGCAGAGGUUGCGGUGAGCUGAAAUGGCGCCAUUGCAUUCCAGCCUGGGUGACACAGCAAGACUCUGUCUCAA
ensembl:misc_RNA Metazoa_SRP Metazoan signal recognition particle RNA